rnacentral:rRNA from 1 species
AAAUUGAAGAGUUUGAUCAUGGCUCAGAUUGAACGCUGGCGGCAGGCCUAACACAUGCAAGUCGAACGGUAACAGGAAGCAGCUUGCUGUUUCGCUGACGAGUGGCGGACGGGUGAGUAAUGUCUGGGAAACUGCCUGAUGGAGGGGGAUAACUACUGGAAACGGUAGCUAAUACCGCAUAACGUCGCAAGACCAAAGAGGGGGACCUUCGGGCCUCUUGCCAUCGGAUGUGCCCAGAUGGGAUUAGCUAGU